UGUAUAAUGGGUCAGCGACUUAUAUUCUGUAGCAAGGUUAACCGAAUAGGGGAGCCGAAGGGAAACCGAGUCUUAACUGGGCGUUAAGUUGCAGGGUAUAGACCCGAAACCCGGUGAUCUAGCCAUGGGCAGGUUGAAGGUUGGGUAACACUAACUGGAGGACCGAACCGACUAAUGUUGAAAAAUUAGCGGAUGACUUGUGGCUGGGGGUGAAAGGCCAAUCAAACCGGGAGAUAGCUGGUUCUCCCCGAAAGCUAUUUAGGUAGCGCCUCGUGAAUUCAUCUCCGGGGGUAGAGCACUGUUUCGGCAAGGGGGUCAUCCCGACUUACCAACCCGAUGCAAACUGCGAAUACCGGAGAAUGUUAUCACGGGAGACACACGGCGGGUGCUAACGUCCGUCGUGAAGAGGGAAACAACCCAGACCGCCAGCUAAGGUCCCAAAGUCAUGGUUAAGUGGGAAACGAUGUGGGAAGGCCCAGACAGCCAGGAUGUUGGCUUAGAAGCAGCCAUCAUUUAAAGAAAGCGUAAUAGCUCACUGGUCGAGUCGGCCUGCGCGGAAGAUGUAACGGGGCUAAACCAUGCACCGAAGCUGCGGCAGCGACACUAUGUGUUGUUGGGUAGGGGAGCGUUCUGUAAGCCUGUGAAGGUGUACUGUGAGGUAUGCUGGAGGUAUCAGAAGUGCGAAUGCUGACAUAAGUAACGAUAAAGCGGGUGAAAAGCCCGCUCGCCGGAAGACCAAGGGUUCCUGUCCAACGUUAAUCGGGGCAGGGUGAGUCGACCCCUAAGGCGAGGCCGAAAGGCGUAGUCGAUGGGAAACAGGUUAAUAUUCCUGUACUUGGUGUUACUGCGAAGGGGGGACGGAGAAGGCUAUGUUGGCCGGGCGACGGUUGUCCCGGUUUAAGCGUGUAGGCUGGUUUUCCAGGCAAAUCCGGAAAAUCAAGGCUGAGGCGUGAUGACGAGGCACUACGGUGCUGAAGCAACAAAUGCCCUGCUUCCAGGAAAAGCCUCUAAGCAUCAGGUAACAUCAAAUCGUACCCCAAACCGACACAGGUGGUCAGGUAGAGAAUACCAAGGCGCUUGAGAGAACUCGGGUGAAGGAACUAGGCAAAAUGGUGCCGUAACUUCGGGAGAAGGCA
rnacentral:rRNA from 1 species